UACGUAGGGUGCGAGCGUUGUCCGGAAUUACUGGGCGUAAAGAGCUCGUAGGUGGUUUGUCGCGUUGGUCGUGAAAACCUGAGGCUUAACCUUGGGCGUGCGGGCGAUACGGGCAGACUGGAGUACUGCAGGGGAGACUGGAAUUCCUGGUGUAGCGGUGGAAUGCGCAGAUAUCAGGAGGAACACCGGUGGCGAAGGCGGGUCUCUGGGCCGUAACUGACGCUGAGGAGCGAAAGCAUGGGGAGCGAACAGG
rnacentral:rRNA from 1 species